ensembl:lncRNA
GAACCAGGCUUUGUUCCUCCUCGAGGUUCACAUGGUUAAUAAUGCUCUAUACCAAUUUCUUCCAAAGGUUCUAGAAAGCAAAGGACGCUCCUUGAUCCUAGUUUACAAGGCCAGCGUGAGGGGAGGGGCGCGGGGAGAGGAGGAGCAGAGGAGACGGAAAAGAGCAGAGCAGAGGGGAGGAGCUUUGGCGCGUCUUCCCUGUCAUCACGCUGAAGCAUCGUUGAGGCAGAAACGCGUGCUCAUCACAGCAGCCAACCCUCUGCCCAGGCCCCCGAGUCCAAGCUCUGGUCUAAGCUGCAUUAAUUGUCCCGGCUCCACGGUGAUGCCUGUUUUGUUUCUCUUUCUCUUUCUUUUGAGACUACGGCUUCUAUCCUGCAUGAAAACCUCUUGCCGAGGGACCUGCCUGUUGAACCAGCCCACAGGUCAGGGAAAAGAUAGCCUUGCUCCUCCCUGAGUCCCAGUCACUUCUCAGAACUGCUGGCGUCUCUGUUCACAGCACUGGUUCUCUGAGCUCCCUGAAGAGUCCUUUCUCCUCUCCACUCCCAGCUCCAGAUCCGACUGACCCAAAGAGGCAGCCCCCUCUCUCAGGAGCAACCCUCAGACCCCAGGACUCUCGGAAACACAGAUUGAAAAGCUUUGCUCUGGCUGGAGAGAAACCACUCUGAAGAUGGGAAGACUGAGGACCAGAGAGGGGAAGUGACAUCCCUGGAGUCACCCAGGAAAUCAGCAGGGACUCAGAGUUGGAGGCCAGACCUCCUCCCUCACAGUCCAAUACACGUUCCCGCCUCACCACCUUAUAUGUCAAAUUUUGCAUGAUUCCCUUGGAGACCCCUGAAUAAAACGUACCGUCAUAUCCAAAGGAGGGGCCCCAUCUCAAGCUCAUUUCGCAUUCCGCGUCCGUGGGAGCUCAUUAGAAUUCUGAUUAUAAUGCUGGAAUCAUUUUUAUUUCCAAGCUUCAGUCAUUUCGUAUCAGGUGGGCAUUAGUCAACAGAGACCUAAAAGAAGUUGUAAGCAAAUCAUCACAGAAAGGAAACUUCUCCCCUACAUACACACACACACACACACACACACACACACACGCACACACACACACAUGCACAAGCACACACAUCUUUCUUUCAUUAGCUUUAAUUAAGUUGACCCAGAUUGAUCUGGAAAAUUUUCCAGACCCAGAAUGAGUUUCUCCUUUAUGAUUGUGAAAAUCAUGAGGUUUUCAGAGAAUGGGACCCUAGAGACAAAUCAAAUGAGAGGUAGCUUCUGGGUAGACAAAGACCUUGAUAAAAUGAGAGACAACAGCCAAGGCCAGUACUGUCACAUCACAGAAGCAUGCCAUUUGGAUCCCCUUUCUGUGCCUCCUUAGCUGUGUUACCUUGGGUGACUUACUCGCCUUCUCUGAGCCUCUACUUCCAAUCUUGCAUACGUGCCCCUCUCACAGUUCCUUCUCUGCUAAGUAGCCAGGAGAUUUUUCCAAAACGUAAGUCAAUCCAGGCAACUGUCUGAUUAAAAGCCUUCAAUAUCUUCCCAUUUAACUUAGAAUAAAACCCACACUCCACAAUGUGUCCAACGAGGACGUCCACAAACUGACUUUUGCCUUAUAUAGGUUGUAGGUUAGGGUCGUGCUUGGCUAUGUGUAACAGAAACUUAAGCAUAUUUGUGUAACCAAACAGGGGGAUAUUAUUCUCACAUGACAAGAAGUCCAGGAGUGGUCCAGAGAAGCUCAAAAUGCCCUUGGAGACCCAGGCUCCUUCUAGCUUCCUGCUCAGCCAUCCUCAGAAAAUAGGAAGCCUCAUGGUCACAAAACGGCUGCCCUACCUCUCGGCUUUGUGUCCAAGUUCCAGGCAAGAAGAAGGGGAAAAAGCAAGGAAGAAAAAGCACAUGCUAGUUGGGUCUGUCCCUUUUUACUCAAGAAAGUGAUAACUUUUCUUUAGAUUGCCAUUUACAAGUCAUUGGCUAGAACGAGGUCGUAUCACCAAUGGUAGUUUCAAGGGAUUCUGGGAGCCAAGUCCUCUUCCAUCGGCACUUCUCCUCCUCAACAAAAUCAGGCUUUAUUGAUUAGGAAGAAAGGGGGUUAAUAUUGGGCAGGCAACCAGCAGCACCUGCCACACAGCUUCCAUUCUCACUCACAACAUGCCCAUGGUGGGCAGAAUUCUAAGAUGGACCUAAGAUCUCUGCCCCUUGAGGCUCGCAGCCUGUAUAAUCUCCUCCCUUUGAGGGUGGGUGGGACUUGUGCCAGCCAGUGGAAUACAGAACAGCGAAGAGAUUUCACUGAUAUAAUUAAGGUCCCAAAUCAGUUGGUUUUGAGUUCAUCAAAAGGAAGAUUGUCCUGGUGGGCCUGACUUAAUCAGGUGACAGCCCUUAAAAGAGGGACGGUGGGGGUCUCCCUGAGCUAAGAGACCCUCCUCGCUCGCGGAAUCCUUCCAUGUGACAACAAGAACGUUAUUGUUUUAAGCUGCCACGAUCAUGGUGAUUUGUCGGGAAGCAAUAGAAAAAGAACACAGUGCCAAACACACAGGAUUCCUCUCUGUCACUUGCGGCAACCUCCUUCCCACGUCAGGACCUUACCCUUUAUCGUCUCCUUCCCUUCGCGCUCUCCGUACUGGGACCACUCUUUCCCCAGCUGCCUGCACCGCCACACCACCUCCUCCAGGUUCCAGCCCACAGCCCCUUGUCAGAGAUGCCGUUCCUUGCCGUCGCACCUAACCACUCCUGUAUCACUCUCUCUGCCUCACUCUGCUUCAGAAAACCUACGAAAAAAUCCAAAAUCGUCUUUUUUUAUUUAUUUCCUUCUUUGCAAUCAUCUGUCCCCUCCACUAGCUUGUCAGCUCCAAGAGAAGAGAGAAUUUGCUCUACUCCUCAUGGCCCCCUCUCCACGCAGAACAGCGCCAGGCUCACGGUGAGCCCAGAAAAAGUGACCUCUCCGCAUACCCGGCCUCUGGGGCUGCUUGAAAACCAGUUUCCGCAACCCACGUGAGCACAACACACUCAUGAACGUUCCAUGAAAGGAGCCGAGGGCGCUCCCGGCCCUGGGCUCUCCCACGGCCACCCCAUCUCCCGCACGCCCAGCCGCGUGGUCCUCUGGAGGCAUGGCCACUUCGCAUUUCCCUCCCUCGCACUCGCCUUCCGAUAGUCAGUGUUGACUGUAGGAUCCUGGCUCUCCAGAACUAGCAGGCGUUUUCCGGCUAAUGUCCAGCAUAAACAGAAGAUACGGUAGAAACACAAAUUCAGCAUCCAUGGUCCUAGAUGGCCAGCUUCUCGCUGUGUCCUCACAUGGCAGAGGGGGCGAGGGGGCUCAGUGGGGUCUCUUUUAUAAGGACACUGAUCCCACUCACGAGGACUCCACCAUCAUGACCUCAUCGUCUCCCAAAGGCCCCACCUCCUGCUACCAUCCCAUUGGGGGUUAGGUUCCAAAAUGAGAAUUAUGGGGGGGACACCAACAUUCAGUCUAUGGCAGCAUAUUUAACAGAACUACAUCUCAAAAACCAGGGCAAGAUAAGGGCCUUUUCAGAAGAACAAAAACGAGAAGCUUUAAGCACCAGUAGAACUUCUAAAGGGUCUAGUUCAGGAAGAAUGAAAAUGAUCCCAGGUAGGAAGGUCCGAGAUGCAGGAAGGAAGGGCAAGGAGGGGCCAACAGGUGAGCAUGUCGAUAAAUCUAGACCAUCCUUGUAUUCAUAGACUGAAAAAACGCAUGUAAUCAGUAGGUUUAAUGAAGAGACAGAGCUAAAAUCCUAGGCAACAAGAGCAUGUCAGUUAGCAGGGAGCUGCCUGGCGUUAAAAUAGUUGACGGUCUUCGUAUGUUCCGGCAGGGCAGGGAGCUGGCGAAGUCACGCUAUUCACAUAAAGAUUAUGAAGUUUCAUGGGCCCUGUAAAAUUUCAAAGAUAACCAUUUAAAGAGUAAAAACGGGCUGUAGCUUUCAUCCCACAGGAGAGCAAAAAGUA